rnacentral:rRNA from 1 species
UUCCGGUUGAUCCUGCCGGACCUGACUGCUAUCGGAUUGAUACUAAGCCAUGCGAGUCAUUGUAGUAAUACAAGGCAGACGGCUCAGUAACGCGUAGUCAACCUAACCUAUGGACGGGAAUAACCUCGGGAAACCGAGUAUAAUGCCCGAUAGAACAUUAUGCCUGGAAUGGUUUAUGUUCCAAAUGAUUUAUCGCCGUAGGAUGGGACUGCGGCCUAUCAGUUUGUUGGUGAGGUAAUGGCCCACCAAGACUAUUACGGGUACGGGCUCUGAGAGGAGUAGCCCGGAGAUGGGUACUGAGACACGGACCCAGGCCCUAUGGGGCGCAGCAGGCGAGAAAACUUUGCAAUGUGCGAAAGCACGACAAGGUUAAUCCGAGUGGUUUCUGCUAAAGGAACCUUUUGUCGGUCCUAGAAACACCGAUGAAUAAGGGGUGGGCAAGUUCUGGUGUCAGCCGCCGCGGUAAAACCAGCACCUCAAGUGGUCAGGAUGAUUAUUGGGCCUAAAGCAUCCGUAGCCGGCUCUGUUAGUUUUCGGUUAAAUCUGUACGCUCAACGUACAGGCUGCCGGGAAUACUGCAGAUCUAGGGAGUGGGAGAGGUAGACGGUACUCGGUAGGAAGGGGUAAAAUCCUUUGAUCUAUUGAUGACCACCUGUGGCGAAGGCGGUCUACCGGAACACGUCCGACGGUGAGGGAUGAAAGCUGGGGGAGCAAACCGGAUUAGAUACCCGGGUAGUCCCAGCUGUAAACUAUGCAAACUCAGUGAUGCAUUGGCUUGUGGCCNAUGCAGUGCUGCAGGGAAGCCGUUAAGUUUGCCGCCUGGGAAGUACGUACGCAAGUAUGAAACUUUAAAGGAAUUUGGCGGGGGAGCACCACAAGGGGUGAAGCCUGCGUUUCAAUUGGAWUCAACGCCGGA